rnacentral:rRNA from 1 species
GACGAACGCUGGCGGCGUGCUUAACACAUGCAAGUCGAACGGGAUUUAGUAAACAGAAGCCUCGGUGGAAGAUUACUAAUGAGGGUGGCGAACGGGUGAGUAACGCGUGAGCAACCUGCCUAUGACAGUGGGAUAGCCUCGGGAAACCGGGAUUAAUACCGCAUAAAAUCGUAGAAACACAUGUUUUAACGGUCAAAGAUUUAUCGGUCAUAGAUGGGCUCGCGUCUGAUUAGCUAGUUGGUGAGAUAACAGCCCACCAAGGCGACGAUCAGUAGCCGGUCUGAGAGGAUGAACGGCCACAUUGGAACUGAGACACGGUCCAAACUCCUACGGGAGGCAGCAGUGGGGAAUAUUGCACAAUGGGGGAAACCCUGAUGCAGCGACGCCGCGUGAACGAAGAAGGUAUUCGUAUCGUAAAGUUCUGUCCUAUGGGAAGAUAAUGACAGUACCAUAGAAGAAAGCUCCGGCUAAAUACGUG